GACGAACGCUGGCGGCGUGCCUAAUACAUGCCAGUAGAACGCUGAAGGAGGAGCUUGCUUCUCUGGAUGAGUUGCGAACGGGUGAGUAACGCGUAGGUAACCUGCCUGGUAGCGGGGGAUAACUAUUGGAAACGAUAGCUAAUACCGCAUAAUAGUAGAUGUCGCAUGACAUUUGCUUAAAAGGUGCAAUUGCAUCACUACCAGAUGGACCUGCGUUGUAUUAGCUAGUUGGUGAGGUAACGGCUCACCAAGGCAACGAUACAUAGCCGACCUGAGAGGGGGAUCGGCCACACUGGGACUGAGACACGGCCCAGACUCCUACGGGAGGCAGCAGUAGGGAAUCUUCGGCAAUGGACGGAAGUCUGACCGAGCAACGCCGCGUGAGUGAAGAAGGUUUUCGGAUCGUAAAGCUCUGUUGUAAGAGAAGAACGAGUGUGAGAGUGGAAAGUUCACACUGUGACGGUAUCUUACCAGAAAGGGACGGCUAACUACGUG
rnacentral:rRNA from 1 species